AACGAACGCUGGCGGCAUGCCUAACACAUGCAAGUCGAACGAGACCUUCGGGGCUAGUGGCGCACGGGUGCGUAACGCGUGGGAACCUGCCCUUAGGUUCGGAAUAACUCCCCGAAAGGGGUGCUAAUACCGGAUAAUGUCUUCGGACCAAAGAUUUAUCGCCUUUGGAUGGGCCUGCGUUGGAUUAGCUAGUUGGUAGGGUAAAAGCCUACCAAGGCGACGAUCCAUAGCUGGUCUGAGAGGAUGAUCAGCCACACUGGGACUGAGACACGGCCCAGACUCCUACGGGAGGCAGCAGUGGGGACUAUUGGACAAUGGGCGAAAGCCUGAUCCAGCAGUGCCGCGUGAGUGAUGAAGGCCUUAGGGUUGUAAAGCUCUUUUACCCGGGAUGAUAAUGACAGUACCGGGAGAAUAAGCUCCGGCUAACUCCGUG
rnacentral:rRNA from 1 species